rnacentral:tRNA from 2 species
GCUCGAGAAGCUCAAUUGGUAGAGCAUGGUCCUGAAGAGACUGGGGUUAUAAGUUCGAAUCUUAUCUUGGGCA